rnacentral:rRNA from 1 species
ACGGGUGAGUAACGCGUAUGCAACCUACCUAUCAGAGGGGAAUAACCCCGGCGAAAGUCGGACUAAUACCGCAUAAAACAGGGGCACCGCAUGGUGAUAUUUGUUAAAGAAAUUCGCUGAUAGAUGGGCAUGCGUUCCAUUAGGUAGUUGGUGAGGUAACGGCUCACCAAGCCGACGAUGGAUAGGGGAACUGAGAGGUUGGUCCCCCACACUGGUACUGAGACACGGACCAGACUCCUACGGGAGGCAGCAGUGAGGAAUAUUGGUCAAUGGGCGGGAGCCUGAACCAGCCAAGUCGCGUGGAAAAGGAAGAAGGAUCUAUGGUUACGUAAACUUCUUUUGCGAGGGGAAUAAAGUGCAGGACGUGUCCUGUUUUGUAUGUACCCUGAGAAUAAGGAUCGGCUAACUCCGUGCCAGCAGCAGC